GCSGUUYAUAWAUCGUGAAGUUAACYUGGGCGUUAAGCGCACGCAGCCGUCUGUUAGUCAGAUGUGAAAUCYCCCGGGCUUAACUCGGAACUGCAUUUGAAACUGGCAGGCUUGAGUCUGUAGAGGGGGGGUAGAAUUCCCAGUGUAGCGGUGAAAUGCGUAGAGAUCUGGAGGARUACCGGUGGCGAAGRCGGCCCCCCYGGACAAAGACUGACGCUCAGGUGCGAAAGMGUGGGGAGCAAACASGAUUAGAUACCCUGGUAGUCCACGCCGUAAAMGAUGUCGACUUGGAGGUUGUUCCCUUGAGGAGUGGCUUCYGGAGMUAACGCGUUAAGUCGACCGCCUGGGGAGUACGGCCGCAAGGUUAAAACUCAAAWGAAUUGACGGGGGCCCGCACAAGCGGUGGAGCAUGUGGUUUAAUUYGAUGCAACGCGAAGAACCUUACCUACUCUUGACAUCCASSGAAYUUKGCAGAGAUGCMUURGUGCCUUCGGGAACSCUGAGACAGGUGCUGCAUGGCUGUCGUCAGCUCGUGUUGUGAAAUGUUGGGUUAAGUCCCGCAACGAGCGCAACCCUUAUCCUUUGUUGCCAGCGAUUCGGUCGGGAACUCAAAGGAGACUGCCGGUGAUAAACCGGAGGAAGGUGGGGAUGACGUCAAGUCAUCAUGGCCCYUACGAGUAGGGCUACACACGUGCUACAAUGGCGCAUACAAAGAGAAGCGACCUCGCGAGAGCAAGCGGACCUCACAAARUGCGUCGUAGUCCGGAUCGGAGUCUGCAACUCGACUCCGUGAAGUCGGAAUCGCUAGUAAUCGUGGAUCAGAAUGCCACGGUGAAUACGUUCCCGGGCCUUGUACACACCGCCCGUCACACCAUGGGAGUGGGUUGCAAAAGAAGUAGGUAGCUUAACMUCGGAGGSCGCYWMYCMCUAGUCCCCGACUGAAGGGACCUUGU
rnacentral:rRNA from 1 species